rnacentral:rRNA from 3 species
GAGUUUGAUCCUGGCUCAGGACGAACGCUGGCGGCAUGCUUAACACAUGCAAGUCGAACGAGCUGAUUCCUUCGGGAUGAAAGCGAGUGCGAACGGGUGAGUAAUGUAUGAGUAACCUGCCUCUGUCUACGGGAUAACAUUUGGAAACAAGUGCUAAUACGGUAUAAGACCACAGCACCGCAUGGUGCAGGGGUAAAAGAUUUAUCGGACAGAGAUGGACUCAUAUCCCAUUAGCUAGUUGGUGAGAUAAUAGCCCACCAAGGCGACGAUGGGUAGCCGAGCUGAGAGGCUGAUCGGCCACAUUGGAACUGAAACACGGUCCAGACUCCUACGGGAGGCAGCAGUGGGGAAUAUUGGGCAAUGGAGGAAACUCUGACCCAGCAAUGCCGCGUGAGCGAUGAAGGUCAUCGAUUGUAAAGCUCUUUUCCUGGGAACGAAACAAAUGACGGUACCCAGGGAAUAAGCCCCGGCUAACUACGUGCCAGCAGCCGCGGUAAUACGUAGGGGGCGAGCGUUGUCCGGAAUGACUGGGCGUAAAGGGUGCGUAGGUGGUUUAAUAAGUUAGAAGUGUAAUACCCGGGCUUAACUCGGGUGCUGCUUCUAAAACUGUUAGGCUUGAGUGUAGUAGAGGAAAGCGGAAUUCAAUGUGUAGCGGUGGAAUGCGUAGAUAUAUUGAAGAACAUCAGUGGCGAAGGCGGCUUUCUGGACUAUAACUGACACUGAGGCACGAAAGCGUGGGGAGCAAACAGGAUUAGAUACCCUAGUAGUCCACGCCGUAAACGAUGGAUACUAGAUGCAGGAGGUAUUCACUCCUUCUGUGUCGCAGCUAACGCAAUAAGUAUCCCGCCUGGGGAGUACGAUCGCAAGAUUAAAACUCAAAGGAAUUGACGGGGACCCGCACAAGCAGCGGAACAUGUGGUUUAAUUCGAAGCAACGCGAAAAACCUUACCAAGACUUGACAUCAGUAUGACUAUCAUAGAAAUAUGGUAUCUCGCAAGAGCAUACUGACAGGUGGUGCAUGGUUGUCGUCAGCUCGUGUCGUGAGAUGUUAGGUUAAGUCCUGCAACGAGCGCAACCCUUAUAACUAGUUGCCAAUAUUAAGUUAGGAACUCUAGUUAGACUGCCGUGGUCAACACGGAGGAAGGUGGGGAUGACGUCAAAUCAUCAUGCCCCUUACGUCUUGGGCUACACACGUGCUACAAUGGCUAUUACAAAGAGUUGCAAGUUGGUAACAGCAAGCUAAUCUCAAAAAAAUAGUCUCAGUUCGGAUUGUGGGCUGCAACCCGCCCACAUGAAGUCGGAGUUGCUAGUAAUCCCGAAUCAGCAUGUCGGGGUGAAUGCGUUCCCGGGUCUUGUACACACCGCCCGUCACGCCAUGGGAGUUGGUAGUACCCAAAGUCGGUGAGCUAACCGCAAGGAAGCAGCCGCCUAAGGUAAGAUCAAUGACUGGGGUGAAGUCGUAACAAGGUAGCCGUAUCGGAAGGUGC